AACUUAUUGAGAGAAGUGGAGGGAUUUGGCCCUGUGAAACUUCAGCAACCGGCUUUAUCAGUACGGUGCUACAACCAACGAUGCAACUCGAGUAAUAAGGU
rnacentral:ncRNA from 2 species